AUAUCAUGUUCAAACACCUGUUCCCGUACGAUCACCGAAUUUAAGCAACGCCGAGCCUGGUCAGUACCUAGAUGAGUGACCUCUCGGGAAUACCAGGUUCUGUAAG